GACGAACGCUGGCGGCGUGCUUAACACAUGCAAGUCGAGCGGUAAGGCCCUUUCGGGGGUACACGAGCGGCGAACGGGUGAGUAACACGUGGGUGACCUGCCCUUAGCUCUGGGAUAAGCCUGGGAAACUGGGUCUAAUACCGGAUAUGACUCCAUGACGCAUGUUGUGGGGUGGAAAGCCUUGUGCGGCUAGGGAUGGGCCCGCGGCCUAUCAGCUUGUUGGUGGGGUGAUGGCCUACCAAGGCGACGACGGGUAGCCGGCCUGAGAGGGCGACCGGCCACACUGGGACUGAGACACGGCCCAGACUCCUACGGGAGGCAGCAGUGGGGAAUCUUGCGCAAUGGGCGAAAGCCUGACGCAGCGACGCCGCGUGAGGGAUGACGGCCUGUGU
rnacentral:rRNA from 1 species